GUUUAGGCUUAGUGUUUAGGCAUGUAUAGAAGGCUAUUUUGUUUUUCUUGUUGGAUUUAUUUAAUUUAGUGCUGUUAAUUUGUUUUCCUCACCCCCUUUGUAAUGCAAGUAAGUAGGUUAGUUAGACGUCUGUCGAAGAUACAUGUACAUUUUAUAUAUUUAUAAGUCUAUGCACACGUUUACUUGUAAUAAAUACCUGUGUGACCUUCAGCAUUCCUAGUUUUUUAGCAUUUUGUAACAUUCUCUACUGUAAAAACUAAUCUGUUUAUAUUUUACCAUUGUUACAUGUAACAAAGCAUUUUGUAAGGACACUACUAAGACUUGGACACCGCAUGUCAACUGGCAGUGGUCAUAGGCCUGCAUAGCAGUCCCCUUUCACCUGAGGAUGUAGCAGUAUUUGAAAGAAACGUGAAAGUGCCUUCUCUUCAUACUUGAAACAAGUAACAUGUAUCUUUCGCUAAAGGAAGGAUUUGCAUGAUAGAAAUGCAAUUCCUUGAAUGCAUUAGGAAGUAACACAAUCAGAAAGUUAUAUUUCUGGAGUUGUGAUCAGGCGAUGAAGCAAUAACGUACAUGUUUUCAAUUGGUUAAAUUACGAAAUAUUUGCCGGGAACCGUCGCAGAAAUGUAAUAUGAUGCUUCUGCGUACCGUUUCUGCGUCAUUACCGCUUCAGGCAUUAGCAUUCGCAAAUCCUUGCAAGCCUGAUAGCAGUGUUCAGUGCAUGAGUGUAUCUCGUUUUUGCUGUCCGUUGGUCUAUGCUGUCUAUAAAGGGAGACGACGCCUGAAGGCUUGCUGUGAUAACAACCUAGGAUUGGAUGGACAAACUAUUUUAUUUCCAAAAAUGCCUCUAAGGAGCUGAUUGAAAAAUUCAUUGGACAUAAAAUGUUAACAGUGGUUUCCAUUAAAACAUAAAGAUGAACAUGAGGAGGUAAAUCAAGAAGACAAACAAGUAAGAAGGAUUCGAAACCUGGAGAUGUGAAGCCCCGUUAAUGGUUUUUAGGAAAAACAUGCAGUCCAAUUCACACUGGUGUACAUAAGUUUGCGCAAAUGACGUUUAUUUCUUCUGCUCUGUGGCUCAUUUCACCAUCGAUGGUAUUGGUAUUUCUUUCAAAAGUAUCUGUUGUUAGAGGCAGUUCUCUGCUGUCAACGAUUACGAAUAAAACUCGAGCACCUUCGGUAUUCGUCGAGCAACGUAGCCGUGCAUCUAUGAUAUUUGGUAUUUCUUUUAACAAUUAUCUAUUGUCCACGUCAUAAAUUGGAGUUGUAUGCGUCUAUGAUUAGCUCGCAACAUUUAUCUAUGCUAUGAUGUAGAUUGACACUUGAUGCAUGGUUUGUUAUAUUUCAUAUCUUGUUUAUGUGAGAGUGUGUAAUUAAUUGGUACUUUCUUUUAGGUGUUUAAUGCCUUCCGUAAUUAAUAGUGUAAUUAAUACGUUUUUUUGUUCAUUUCUGCAGAUUGUUCAACAAAUGCAAAAGAAAUAAAGUUCAGUUUGGUCCAACUGAAACAACCAAUGUCUACUUGGGCAGCAUCUUUCCUGGAUUGUAUUCAUGAUUAGCUGUUUACAUCUUUGCCUUGCAACAUUAUGAAGUUAAUUUUCAACUGAUGUGUGAGAGCAACUGGAGAUUAAUUUGAAUUCCAUGGAAACAACAAAUUUUCUGCGAUGGUAUCUCUGCCGGAUUUGUUUUGCUUUUUACACCUUCAAAGUUUGGAACGUUACAGUCUACAGUUAAUUAAGAUCGACGCUGAAGAAGACAAAGAAGACCCCGUAGUUAA